rnacentral:misc_RNA from 1 species
AGCAGCCGCGGUAAUUCCAGCUCCAAUAGCGUAUAUUAAAGUUGUUGCAGUUAAAAAGCUCGUAGUUGAAUUUCGGGACCAAUUUGUUGGUCGUGCCUCGGUACGUACUGGUAUUAUUGGUUUCUCCCUUCUGAAGAACCUCGAUGCCAUUAAUUUGGUGUCGUGGGGAAUCAGGACUGUUACUUUGAAAAAAUUAGAGUGUUUAAAGCAAGCAUACGCUUGAAUACAUUAGUAUGGAAUAAUGAAAUAGGACGUUUGAUUCUAUUUUGUUGGUUUUUAGGAUCGACGUAAUGAUUAAUAGGGAUAGUUGGGGGCAUUAGUAUUCAAUUGUCAGAGGUGAAAUUCUUGGAUUUAUUGAAGACUAACUACUGCGAAAGCAUUUGCCAAGGAUGUUUUCAUUCAUCAAGAACGAAAGUUAGGGGAUCGAAGACGAUCAGAUACCGUCGUAGUCUUAACCAUAAACUAUGCCGACUAGGGAUCGGAUGAUGUUAAUUUUUUAAUGACUCAUUCGGCGCCUUAC